rnacentral:rRNA from 1 species
UACGGAGGGUGCAAGCGUUAUCCGGAUUUACUGGGUUUAAAGGGUGUGUAGGCGGCUUUUUAAGUCAGGGGUGAAAUCCCGGGGCUCAACCCCGGAACUGCCUUUGAUACUAAAGAGCUUGAAUUAUGUUGAGGUUGGCGGAAUAUGACAUGUAGCGGUGAAAUGCAUAGAUAUGUCAUAGAACACCGAUUGCGAAGGCAGCUGACUAAGCAUAUAUUGACGCUGAGGCACGAAAGCGUGGGGAUCAAACAGG